CUAGAUUUGAGAGGUGUCCCUUUUGGCUCUCCUUAGUUAUGUAGACAAAGUCUGGCUUAGAGCCUCUGCCAAGCCCCUGGCCAUGGGCUCACCCUCCAGAGGAGGAGACAGGGUAGCAGGUGGGUGGGGACAGGACUGUCCUUGGAAUACAAGUAAUUAGUAGCAGUUUUUUUCCCCGUGAUAGUUAGGUCAGCAAAUUCUUUCAUCCCAAAUCUUCUCAUCAUGUGUAACAUUUAUCUCUGGCACCAAGAAAAGGCAAAACAAAAAGGCAAAACUCUGAAUGGUCUUCAGACUGUUCAUAAGCAUGUGGUGGGAAAAGGAAAGUUAUCACACAAGUCACUUUUAUGUGAAAAAUCCAAACGUGCAAGAGAAAAUGGAGCAGGAGUUGUUUUUUCUUAAGUAAAGUUGUCUAGUUUACAUAUGAAUACUCCUGAGAGGAGGUCCCUGGGGGCUUAGCAGUUAAGGAUCCAGUGUUGUCCCUGCUACAGCUCAGGCCAUUGCUGUGGCAUGGGUUCCAUCCCUGGCCCAGGAAAUUCUGCAUGCCACACACACUCCCAAGAAUUUGUUUUUUGAGGACAGUGUUCUGAUUGUGUGAGGCAUUUUAACAUGGAGCAGUGGUGGAAAAAAAGGCAUUUGGGAACCCCACAGAGCUGAGGUAGAGUCCAGUGUGGUGGUCUUUGGACAUUCAGUGAGCUCGCUGGGUCUCAGUUUCCUGGACUGUAAAAUGGGGCUAAUCAAAUCCUCUUCAUCAGAUUGUUCUGAGCAUUAAAUGAAAUGAUAGAGGCCUGAUGUGUAAGUCAGUGCCUAGCACGUGAGGGCACAAUCAGCAAACAUUCCCCGCUGCCACUGUCAUCAUCACCGACGUAAUUAUCGAUUAGCAUUUCCAUAAAACCUCAAAAGCCUGAGGAGGGUGGUGGGUAAGUAGAAGAGGGAGUGAGUACGGAAGGGGCUCACUCUGCCCGCUAACUGUUUUCAUGUCUCUCUCUCUCUUUUUUUUUUCCUUAAUAGGAAUGAAUUCUUCCAAAACCAAACUAGAACUGCAGAAGCACCUGACAACAUUAACUAAUCAGGAGCAAGCGACUAUUUUUGAGGAGGUUCAGUGCGCUCGAGUCACUUUGGGGAACAUCUUUCUAGCAAGCAUAGAAGAGGCACAUUCCUCCCCUAAUGUGAGUUUCUCUUCUUUUUUACUUAGACCGCACUGUGUAGCUUUCCCCCAAACAGUGUGAUAACUCAGGGUGGGUAAGUUCUGCAGCAAUGACAAGUUCCUGAUGGAUGUGAUUCGGAGAUUGUCCAUGAUGCAUGCAAGUUUGAGACACUCAAUACAUUAUGGCCAAGAGACUUUUCAGAGAAAAUUCAGUGACAAAAGUUUGCUUAAAAACAUGCGUUCAGGAGUUUCCAUUGUGGCUCAGCGGAAACAAAU
rnacentral:lncRNA from 1 species